rnacentral:rRNA from 1 species
GACGAACGCUGGCGGCGUGCUUAACACAUGCAAGUCGAACGGAAAGGCCCUGCUUUUGUUGGGUGCUCGAGUGGCGAACGGGUGAGUAACACGUGAGUAACCUGCCCUUGACUUUGGGAUAACUUCAGGAAACUGGGGCGAAUACCGGAUAGGAGCUCCUGCUGCAUGGUGGGGGUUGGAAAGUUUCGGCGGUUGGGGAUGGACUCGCGGCUUAUCAGCUUGUUGGUGGGGUAGUGGCUUACCAAGGCUUUGACGGGUAGCCGGCCUGAGAGGGUGACCGGCCACAUUGGGACUACGAUACGGACCAGAAUCCUACGGGAGGCAGCGGUGGGGAAUAUUGCACAAUGGGCGGAAGCCUGAUGCGGCAACGCCGCGUGCGGGAUGACGGCCUUCGGGUUAUAAACCGCUUUCGACUGUGACGAAGCGUGAGUGACGGUAAUGGGUAAAGAAGCACCGGCUAACUACGUG